rnacentral:misc_RNA from 1 species
GUGUGACUAAUAAAUGGCAUAAAUUCCCUUCAACCUGUAUUAUGGAAUUACUAAGUGAAAACAUAAAUCGUGAAAACAUAAUUCUAACUGAUAGAUUGCACUCUAUACAUAAAGUUCUUCAGUAAAAGUGGAAAUCUAGCAAUUACAAAACUAAGUAAUUUGCCACUGAAUUGAAUGAUCAAACACAUAGAAGUAGGACAUACCUUCUAGUGAUGAAUUCAACAAAUUAUAGUUCAGCCUUUGAAACUAAAAAAUUUAACUCAAAUUUAAAUUUUGUAUAAGGGUAAUGA